rnacentral:tRNA from 2 species
GCCUGGUGGCGGAAGGGCCGGACGGUCAGCUUUCGGGGCUGAUGAAUCUGGUGUUCCAUCCGUCGACCUGGAGC